UACGGGGGGAGCAAGCGUUGUUCGGAUUUACUGGGCGUAAAGGGCGCGUAGGCGGUCAGCACAAGUCAGUUGUGAAAUCUCCGGGCUUAACUCGGAAAGGUCAACUGAUACUGUGCGACUAGAGUGCAGAAGAGGCAACUGGAAUUCUCGGUGUAGCGGUGAAAUGCGUAGAUAUCGAGAGGAACACCUGCGGCGAAGGCGGGUUGCUGGGCCGACACUGACGCUGAUGCGCGAAAGCCAGGGGAGCGAACGGG
rnacentral:rRNA from 1 species